rnacentral:rRNA from 1 species
UACGAAGGGUGCAAGCGUUGUUCGGAUUUACUGGGCGUAAAGCGCGCGCAGGCGGAUAAGUAAGUCAGAUGUGAAAUCUCGGGGCUCAACCUCGAAACAGCGUCUGAAACUACUAAUCUAGAAUCUUGGAGAGGGAAGGGGAAUUUCUCAUGUAGGGGUAAAAUCCGUAGAGAUGAGAAGGAACACCGGAGGCGAAGGCGCCUUCCUGGCCAAUGAUUGACGCUGAGGGGCGAAAGCGUGGGAGCAAACAGG